rnacentral:rRNA from 1 species
GACGAACGCUGGCGGCGUGCUUAACACAUGCAAGUCGAACGAAAAGAGGGAAAGAGCUUGCUCUUUCCGGAAUUGAGUGGCAAACGGGUGAGUAACACGUAAACAACCUGCCUUCAGGAUGGGGACAACAGACGGAAACGACUGCUAAUACCGAAUAAGUUCCACGAGCCGCAUGGCCCAUGGAAGAAAAGGUGGCCUCUACCUGUAAGCUAUCGCCUGAAGAGGGGUUUGCGUCUGAUUAGCUGGUUUGAGGGGUAAAGGGCCACCCAGGCGACGAUCAGUAGCCGGUCUGAGAGGGGGAACGGCCCCCAUUGAACUGGGACACGGUCCAGACUCCUUCGGGAGGCAGCAGGGGGGAAUCUUCCGGAAUGGGCGAAAGCCUGACGGAGCAACGCCGGGUGAGUGAUGACGGCCUUCGGGUUGUAAAACUCUGUGAUCCGGGACGAAAAGGCAGAGUGCGAAGAACAAACUGCAUUGACGGUACCGGAAAAGCAAGCCACGGCUAACUACGUG